rnacentral:rRNA from 1 species
GACGGAGGGCGCAAGCGUUGUUCGGAAUUACUGGGCGUAAAGCGCACGCAGGCGGUUUGCUAAGUCUUCUGUGAAAGCCCGGAGCUCAACUCCGGAACUGCAGGGGAUACUGGUAGACUGGAGACAGGUAGAGGCUAGCGGAAUUCCUGGUGUAGCGGUGGAAUGCGUAGAUAUCAGGAAGAACACCUGUGGCGAAGGCGGCUAGCUGGGCCUGUUCUGACGCUCAUGUGCGAAAGCGUGGGGAGCAAACAGGAUUAGAUACCCCCGUA